rnacentral:rRNA from 1 species
GUACAUGCCUACAUCAUAGCGUUAAUGCACUGGAUCCCAUUAGAACUCCGCAAUUAAGCAUGCUCGAGCUAGAGUAGUAUUGAGAUGGGUGACUACCCGAGAAGUCCUAGUGUUUUAAAUG